rnacentral:rRNA from 1 species
CCUACGGGCGGCAGCAGUGGGGAAUAUUGGACAAUGGGGGCAACCCUGAUCCAGCCAUGCCGCGUGUGUGAAGAAGGCCCUCGGGUUGUAAAGCACUUUCAGUGAGGAAGAACGCCUGGUGGUUAAUACCCAUCAGGAAACACAUCACUCACAGAAGAAGCACCGGCUAACUCCGUGCCAGCAGCCGCGGUAAUACGGAGGGUGCGAGCGUUAAUCGGAAUUACUGGGCGUAAAGCGCGCGUAGGUGGCUUGAUAAGCCGGUUGUGAAAGCCCCGGGCUCAACCUGGGAACGGCAUCCGGAACUGUCAAGCUAGAGUGCAGGAGAGGAAGGUAGAAUUCCCGGUGUAGCGGUGAAAUGCGUAGAGAUCGGGAGGAAUACCAGUGGCGAAGGCGGCCUUCUGGACUGACACUGACACUGAGGUGCGAAAGCGUGGGUAGCAAACAGGAUUAGAUACCUGAGUAGUC